UACGUAGGGUCCGAGCGUUGUCCGGAAUUAUUGGGCGUAAAGGGCUCGUAGGCGGUCUGUUGCGUCGGGAGUGAAAACUUACAGCUUAACUGUGAGCGUGCUUUCGAUACGGGCAGACUUGAGGCAUUCAGGGGAGAACGGAAUUCCUGGUGUAGCGGUGAAAUGCGCAGAUAUCAGGAGGAACACCAAUGGCGAAGGCAGCACUCUGGGACGUGACUGACGCUGAGACGCGAAAGCGUGGGGAGCGAACAGG
rnacentral:rRNA from 1 species